UUGGUGGUCAAAAACAUAAUUCGUUUGACCAUUUGACUCUCUGUUCUGCCCAGGAUACUAUGUAUAGCCAAGGUCAGAAGAAUACAAAUCAACCAUGUUACUUUGUCACCAUAUAUAUGAUCCUGGGUCCAUAUUCUGAAUUCUUGGAUGAAUUUGGUGAGUUUAUCUGUAAUUUGGCAACCCGUGCUGAUAACAUUAUAAUUGUUGGUGACUUCAACAUUCAUAUAAAAAAGCUUUCUCACCCCCUCUGCAAAUCA